ACUCAGCGCUCCAUUCUGUACACUCUCACUGCUUGAGCCAUCUAGGGGCAAGGUCUCAAACCAGCAGAUUACUCAAUCUGGCCUAGAUGCUGAGGGUUUGGCAACAUUCCCUGAGCAUGAAGAACAAGGCAGACAGAGCUACUGUGUUGCAUGGACACCUACCACUCAGCUUCCAGGAGGGAUGAACAAUUAGAGUUGCGUGAGCAGAGUAUUUACAGCUGUUAUCUGUCAGCAGUACGCCAUCCCAAGAGUCCCCUGGACAGCCUUUGGUGAGGAAUGGGAGCCAGCAACUGUUGAUCAAAGGAGGAAACAACCAUGGAGGAGGAUACAGAUGAGACAUUAAGUAAACCUCAGACUACUUCAUAGGAGGAAUUUUGGAAAGAUAAAACCUUUGGCCUGUUUUGGAUCACAUUCCCUCUGUAGAACAAGUAGAGACAAUUGCAUUCUGUUUGAAGAAUUUACUGUUGGACAGUGUUGUCUCAUGCAGUCCUGAAGGACAGUAUCAUCUUCAAGCAAGAUGGAGUCAAGAAUGGACAUACUGUGCCCCUUACCCAGGAGGAGGGCUAUUCAUGGUUUAUAAGUUACACAUUUGAUGGUCUGGGGCAGGUUCAAAUUGUUUUGGGGGUGAACUUGUCUGUGUUAGGCCAAGGAUUUUAUGUUUAAUAUUUCCCUUGAAACCCCUUUUCUUUUACACAAAACCACAUGCUAAGUGGGUCACUUGUAUUGGGCUUUAUUUUUUCACAGCACUGAGAACAAAACCUGAGUCCUUGUCACGUUUGCAUACUAAAUGAACCACACAGUGCACAGAGCUGCAAACUUGGAGACAGGUGGCCUAGACUCUAAUUCAGUUUUAUUCCUGUUCACCUCAUGAACUUCAACAAAACUCUUUCAGCUUCCUUAUAUCCACUCAAACAAUAGUGAGUAACCUCUUCUGUUUAUUGGGUCAAUUUAAGGAUUCUCAGAGAAUGUAAACCAUCUUUUGUGAGCUGUAACUGCUAUAGAAAUGAAAUACAUACAACUUCAAGGUGUUGACGCCCUUGUCACUUGUACAAAGAACUUCCCCAUUCUUUAUCUGGGUCAGACCUGGGGUCAGAAGGGAUCCCAGUCAGUGUGACUAGAGACCAAGCCUGGACCUGGCUCUGCUGUGUCAACAUCCUGUUCUGAAAAGGAACUACUUGUAGAGUCUUGCCUGUUUUCCUCAGAUUUUUAUGAUUGGCCUUUAGAAAUCUGUAUUGCAGAGGCCAUGGAGUAUUGACCCGUGUUAGCUGUUUCUUUUGCAUAUUUAUUUUUCCAGAGAAUUAUGUUAGAUACUAGGGAAUCAGAGAUUAUCGUUAUUUUUUAAAAGCCUCAGUCUGGUGAAGGAGAUAGACCACAAAGUAAGCAGAGCGAUUUUAAGUUGUGAUAAGUGCUAGCAUGGAUGAAGACGAGCUGUGGUGGAAGAUAAAGUAGGUGGGAGACUUACUUUGGGCAGUUUGAGGCCUCCAAUAGCGUGGGCCUGAGGGCGAAAAGCCAGCCAUGCAGAGAUCUGCAAGAAGAACUUUCUAGGCAUAGAGAACUUUGUGUGGGAAGGCCCUGGGGCUCAAAGAGUCUUUUACUAGAGAACUGAAAGGUGACUAAGGUGGAGGGGACAGGUGAGCUGGGAGGAGUGGAUUGAGCAAAACUGAAAGCUGUGGAGUGUGGAAUUUCAAAAUCAUCUCACUGUCUCUGUCUCAAAGUCAAAAAUACUACCUCAAAACAUUUGACUUUUUCAUCAAAACAUGGGAGACCUCCUUAUGUCUCCCAUCUACUUAAAUACUGGACUUCAUAUCCAGUCAACAGAACAUACCAGCACCGUUUUAAAAUAUCUUUGUAAAUCCAUUCACUCAUCUUAACCUUAUAGUUGUCACCCGAGAUCAAGCCAUUGUCACCCUUGCUCCAGAUACUGUAGAAAUUGUCUAUGUAGUAGUGCGCUGGCAAAAGCCUAAUGGUCAUGGUGAUGGGGAAGGCCUAACUUGUAGCACUUGCAAGUUUCCUUGGUAUCAGUAUGCACACUGGACUAUCUGUCUACCAACAUGGUGCUCCUAAACAUGGCAUCAGGAAGAUUUACAAGUUGACUGUCUGAUCUCCUAAUAAGCUGGUGAAAAUAUGCCACUGCCAGGUGUGUCUGCUUCCAGACCACACCCAGAGUGUAUUCUAAGAGCUGUAUUCUAAUCAUUCAUUCUCAAUGCCAUCUGUACAUUAUGUUUUGACUUUUGACUUUGGUCUUAGGCACUUGUUGGGAAUUUUGUACUAAAGCCUGAAUCAACAGCCAAAUUUUAGCUUCAAGUCUUUGAGCAACUACAUUAGGAGGGGGAAAUUAGCUCCUUUGCAACUCUGGGUGUGUGUACCAGCUUUCUAUUACGGUAUCAAAUAUAAUAUCCGACACCAUAAGUGUGUAGAGAGGAAGGGCAUAUUUUGGCUCAUAGUUUUGGAGGUUUGGCUCCAUGAUCAGGCAGGCCAGUAGUUUCAGGCCUCUUAGAAAGGACAGGUGGCAAUGUCAAAAAGCUUCUGGCAGAACAAAACAACUCAUUUCAUGGUUGGGAAGCAAGACGCAAAGAGACAAGAGAAACAGGCUCCUGUAAUUCUCUUUGGCAGCAUGCUCCCAGUAACCCAAACAGCCCCAACUCAGCUCCACUCUGAAAGGUUCCAUCACCUCCAGGGAGCACCAAAAUGGGGCUCAAGCCUUUAACAAGUGAGCAUUUGGAGAAUACUUCAGAUCCAAAAUAUAGCAACCAGUGUAGGGAUGAUGAAGCAUCCUUAGCUUUUGCUAUUGACAUUUUGUACUAAAUUAGGAAGAAGUGUGUUUUGUUAAUUAUUGAAAUUUAAAAAUUUUCAUUUUAA